rnacentral:rRNA from 1 species
UACGUAGGGGCCAAGCGUUGUUCGGAUUCACUGGGCGUAAAGGGUGCGCAGGUGGGUUUGCAAGUUCGAUGUGAAAGCCCCGGGCUUAACCCGGGAAUGGCAUUGGAUACUGCAGAUCUGGAGGAUCGGAGGGGGGACUGGAAUUCUUGGUGUAGCAGUGAAAUGCGUAGAUAUCAAGAGGAACACCAGUGGCGAAGGCGAGUCCCUGGACGAUACCUGACACUGAGGCACGAAAGCUAGGGGAGCAAACAGG